rnacentral:lncRNA from 1 species
AAAAAAAUUACAGCAGUAUUUUCAUCUACAGGCUUAAGAACAUUUUCUCAACUGAAAUAGCAUUAACUUAAUAAAAAUCCUCAGUAAUCACAUGUUGUCUUGCUUAUUCUUGCAGGGUGAGGGCAGCAUGAACAUCCCUAAAUGUGCCUCUGGGCAUGUUUAGCCAUUUGUUUUUGAUUAGGAGAAAGAAGACGGCCAUCCACUUGAAAGGCAAAGCUUCAGUGGCUGAAUGAGUUGUGGAUUUUCUGAAUUUCAGGAACAGUAAAGCAGGCGACAGAAGAGAGUGUAUAAAAGACAACACAUUGGAAGGAAGACAGGUGAAGAAAAAUAACAUGAUUCAGGUAGAUGGAGUUUUAAUUUCUUUAUGCACCUUUUUAUGUUUAGUUUGUAUUUCUCAUGUUUUCCCAUUGAGAAGAACAAAAUUUUUG